GGAUAGUAAGGGCACCAACUAGCUAAAAAUGAGAAACAGUAAAUCAUCAUGGGGAACCAUCAACAUCUGGUAACUUACUUAAAUACUCAUGUGUAUUGGUCAUUGUCACAAAGGAUUAGAAAUCAGAAUCUCUAGUUGGAAGUUCAGGAUUUCUUACCUACCAGCUACGUAACUUUGACAAGUCAUUUGCAACAGCUGAUAUUGGGAUAAAUGGGAAAAGGGCAGUGUUGCUGCAAAGAUCAAGUAGAUAAAGUAUGAAAAGUGCUCUGACCUACACAGAUACAAAGUGAGCUUGUCGGCACUGGGGAGCUAAUCAGGAAAAGGACUGAUGGAAAGAGGAAGAGAGAACAUCUCUGUGGCAAAUCCCUCGUGACUGAGGACCGCAUAUCUGUUUCAUGAGAAUGGAAAAACACCAGCCAAAUCAAAGUUAACAACUGUGCAGCUGGGCAAACUCAGAUUAAGCUGAAUUUGGAAAUGGCUCCCUUGGUAACAAAGACGGACACAGAUCUCACAAGAAAUCAAUCAGCAGUAACUCUUUGAAUGUCUUAGUCCAUUUCAGUGACAUAAAGCAGAUGAGUAAGCUUGGAUUUUGAAGACUUCAACAACUUGGCUGCAAGUUGAUGGGAGAAUUGACAUUCUAACCCAGCUCAGUUUGAAGCCUAUAGUCCACUCCACUCCACUCUACCAGCAAAGAACAUAGCCUUGCAAAACAGAGAACAGAAAACAGAAAUGCUUUUUCUUCACUCCCUGUUGGGAGGAUUCUGGAAUAGAGCUGU
rnacentral:lncRNA from 1 species